rnacentral:rRNA from 1 species
UACAGAGGUCCCAAGCGUUGUUCGGAUUCACUGGGCGUAAAGGGUGCGUAGGUGGCCAGGUAAGUUCGGUGUGAAAGCUCGGAGCUCAACUCCGAAAAGGCAUUGAAUACUAUCUGGCUGGAGGGUCGGAGGGGAGACUGGAAUUCUCGGUGUAGCAGUGAAAUGCGUAGAUAUCGAGAGGAACACCAGUGGCGAAGGCGAGUCUCUGGGCCGAUACUGACGCUGAGGAGCGAAAGCGUGGGGAGCGAACAGG